UGAGGAACAUGACCUUCGGCGGGGGAUAGCCGGCCCAACGGCCGGGUAAUACCGCGUACGACCUUCCGGGGACAUCCCUGGAUGGUGAAAGCAGCAAUGCGCCGAUGGAGUGCCUCGCGGCCUAUCAGCUAGUUGGUGAGGUAACGCUCACCAAGGCGACGACGGGUANCUGGUCUGAGAGGAUGGCCAGCCACAUUGGGACUGAGACACGGCCCAGACCUCCGUACGGGGAGCAG
rnacentral:rRNA from 1 species